GGUCCAGUGGUCACUGCCCAGCCUUCUAAGACUUGGUGGUGUUGGGAGUAGGGGUGAGCAUUCGGUGCAAAUGCGGUAAAUCGGUGCGCUGAAUUCGGUUUUUUCGGUUAUUGCACCUAUAGAAAUCUAAACCGUUUUCAAUUUCAAAUUGGGCAUUACCGAAUUCAUGCCGUACCCGAUUUCAAAUUCGAAAACGGUAAUGAAUUCGGUCUAACCGAAUUCAUCUAUUAUGUAAAAAAAAACCCUGAAGCAAAUUAAGAGAAUAUAUAAAACCAAUCUUUAUAGUUCAGCAACUACCAACCCCCGCAAGCCAUGAGAAAGCUACAAAUAUUAGACUGAAAAUAUGUAAAGAAGCUAGACAUAUGUAGGCCUUCUACUGGUUUGUAGUUAUAAAAGCUAAAUUGCUCUCUUCGAUAUGUUCUAGACUUGCUCCAAUGCUUUCCAUUACUUAUUCAGGAGCUGAUUACUUUUAUUGAGCUUAUUAAGAAUCCUAGGUACAACUUCUGGAGCCGUACUUUCACUAGAUGUGCACCACAGAUUGAGAAUCUCCACGGACAAAGAGGUAAAAUUUUCAUUUUAGCAAGUUUUUUCCUUUUUAAUUUUUCUAACGGGUAAAAGGUGGAAUUUUUCCCCAAGGCCUUAACCUUUAAAGCCUGCACAACUGGAGAGAGCUUUCUUGUGUAUAAAAUACAAAGCUUAUGUUAUAUCACACCUAAUCUAAACUACUACAACAGUUAGAGUUUGCAAUUCGAAGCUCAGAUUUCGUCCCCUUAUCAAUUCAGGAUAACAAAUUUCCUAGUCGAUCUUGGCCCAUUUUAAUGCCAGAUACACAGAGCCAAAAACAGAGGAGCACUUACCUAAGCGAGCCAGAGAUGAGCAGUGAUGAACCAGCGAUGAACCAGUGAGAUCUUGGUGCUUCGUCUUCGACACUCGGCAGCGAUGAACCAGCACAGCAGGACACAGCCGACAGGAGACGUAGAGCGCGGCGGACUGGCGGAGGCCGGAGAGG